GACGAACGCUGGCGGCGUGCCUAAUACAUGCAAGUUGAGCGCUGAAGGUUGGUACUUGUACCAACUGGAUGAGCAGCGAACGGGUGAGUAACGCGUGGGGAAUCUGCCUUUGAGCGGGGGACAACAUUUGGAAACGAAUGCUAAUACCGCAUAAAAACUUUAAACACAAGUUUUAAGUUUGAAAGAUGCAAUUGCAUCACUCAAAGAUGAUCCCGCGUUGUAUUAGCUAGUUGGUGAGGUAAAGGCUCACCAAGGCGAUGAUACAUAGCCGACCUGAGAGGGUGAUCGGCCCCAUUGGGACUGAGACACGGCCCAAACUCCUACGGGAGGCAGCAGUAGGGAAUCUUCGGCAAGGGACGAAAGUCUGACCGAGCAACGCCGCGGGAGGGAAGAAGGGUGUCGGAUCGUAAAACUCUGUUGGUAGAGAAGAACGUUGGUGAGAGUGGAAAGCUCAUCAAGUGACGGUAACUACCCAGAAAGGGACGGCUAACUACGUG
rnacentral:rRNA from 1 species